GAGGAUAAGAGUGCGUGCGCGUCGCUGUCCUCCUCCCCUCCUCCCAACUUGCUAAUCUCGUUCACAAGACUGGCGGGCUCGAGGCUGCAGUUUCUCUCUCCCGCGCCCGCGCGCGCUCCCGCCUUAGCACUAGACCGUUGCCACACAAAAUGGCGUCGGAGACAAAAUUCCUAGUGCGGGCAAGGCGGAAAGUAGCGCUUGCGUAUGAAGUGUGGUGGCCAGAAUUGUGCACAGGACAACAGGUCUUCGCAGUACAGCCUGUCAUUUUAUUGGCCUUGUUAAUUGCCUCUGCAGGACGCCUGGACAAUCAGAAUACCGUGCCAGUCCUUUGCAGAGGGUUCUUCCGGUAAGACAUCAUUAUUAGAUUCGAUAAACUUUAUUAAUCCCAGGACAGAGACUCCUUAUCAUGCCCGUGCGUCGCACUUUAAACCUUUCCACGUGUUUAUCCGUCUUUUAAAGCGCGCUUGGCCCUUGUGAAUUGUUUUGCUGCUGUCCCUCCCGUUUCAGUGUCAUACCGUCUAUACCAGGAUGAAUCAAGUUCACCAAAAUAGACCAGAAAGAGUAGCAGAGCCCUCAGCAAGACUGCGUUGUCGGACUUGAGUAGCGGUGCCAAGAUGGUUACCAGCUAACCUCCUGUCACCUAAACAAAGCAGUUCAAAGGUUGCUUUACAAGAGAGACAGACAACUGAAAGAAAGCGUCUCUACUAAAAUUCUCAAAUUCUGCACUUCUAGGAAGAUGUACAGCAUCGGUUUGCUCUUCAAUGACUAACCAGACUCCAGUGGCUGUCCACCCAGUCUCACAAAUGUGAAAAGGACACUUUAGAAACACUGACAAUCUCUUAACAAGAACAGCAAAACACCCUUAAAAAGCCGGAACUUGUAAUACUUACAGGCCCCACAAUAUCAGAGACGUGAGACACUGUAGUCCCAGAAGCCGCUCCAAGGUACAUC